UCAUCUUUGAAUGAUUAUAAAGGCAACGAGCGAGCAAAAGCUUCAUAUGUUAUGGCGACUAAGUGUUAGUGGGCAGCAAUGAACAAGGAUGCUAGAGUAUUGGCUAGGCAGACUUGGGCAGAAGGCAAGGCAAGGCAAGGCAGUGUGGCAUCGACAAGGCAAAGCAAGGCUGGGCAAGUGUGUUGUCUUGACAAGGCAAGGCAGUGUGACUUGACGAUGGCAAGACAAAGUUGAUUUGAGGUGAAGGAACGAAGUUGGCAAAGAUCACGAAAUAAAUUGCAUAUGGAAAGCAGUCAAGAAUCAUUCUAAGUGUGGGCUAUGUGCAAAUUCGACUAAGGCAUUGUGGGGCAUGUGCGAGGCACAUGUCCAAUGUAAUUUGAAUUCAAAUUUGAUUAGGCUGUUAGAAAAUAUGACUGUUGUAAUUGGUUAAGUUUCUGAUAAGAUUUGUUAAAGGCUUGUUCUAGGUACAUCGGUUGGUUAUAACUUUUGGAAUUGCCUUGUGCAUAGUUUUUAAAUAUGGGUAGAAAUUCAACUAAGGCCUCAAAGAGUGUUUUGUGCCUUAGUCAAAUUUGUAAAGCCUUUCUUUUGUUGAUUUUUGAUCUUAAUAAAGUUUGGGAAGAGUUCCUAUA